AUGCAUCAACUGAUAGACCUGAAGCUUUUGUUGCUUUAUGGUUUGCAAUGAGAUGCUAUAGCAAUUUCCUUGCGCUUUCUUCCUGCUUUGAUUUGUGGCACUGGAAGAUUGAAUAGAGGAAGACAAGU